rnacentral:rRNA from 1 species
GAUGAACGCUGGCGGCGCGCCUAACACAUGCAAGUCGAACGAUUAAAGCACCUUCGGGUGUGUAUAAAGUGGCGAACGGCUGAGUAACACGUGGGCAACCUGCCCCUUUCAUUGGGAUAGCCACGGGAAACCGUGGAUAAUACCGAAUACUUCGAGACUUCCGCAUGGAAGACUCGAGAAAGCUCCGGCGGAGAGGGAUGGGCCCGCGGCCUGUUAGCUUGUUGGUGGGGUAACGGCCUACCAAGGCAAUGAUGGGUAGCUGGGUUGAGAGACCGACCAGCCAGAUUGGGACUGAGACACGGCCCAGACUCCUACGGGAGGCAGCAGUGGGGAAUCUUGCACAAUGGGCGAAAGCCUGAUGCAGCGACGCCGCGUGCGGGAUGAAGGCCUUCGGGUUGUAAACCGCUUUCAGCAGGGACGAGGCGAAAGUGACGGUACCUGCAGAAGAAGCCCCGGCUAACUACGUGCCAGCAGCCGCGGUAAUACGUAGGGGGCAAGCGUUAUCCGGAUUCAUUGGGCGUAAAGCGCUCGUAGGCGGUCUGUUAGGUCGGGAGUUAAAUCCGGGGGCUCAACCCCCGCUCGCUCUCGAUACCGGCAGACUUGAGUUUGGUAGGGGAAGGUGGAAUUCCUAGUGUAGCGGUGGAAUGCGCAGAUAUUAGGAAGAACACCAGUGGCGAAGGCGGCCUUCUGGGCCAUAACUGACGCUGAGGAGCGAAAGCUAGGGGAGCAAACAGG